CAGUCGCCACGGUAAGACAGAGGAUGCAAGCGUUAUCCGGAAUGAUUGGGCGUAAAGCGUCUGUAGGUGGCUUUUCAAGUCCGCCGUCAAAUCCCAGGGCUCAACCCUGGACAGGCGGUGGAAACUACCAAGCUGGAGUACGGUAGGGGCGAGGGAAUCUCCGGUGGAGCGGUGGAAUGCGUUGAGAUCGGAAAGAACACCAACGGCGAAAGCACUCUGCUGGGCCGACACUGACACUGAGAGACGAAAGCUAGGGGAGCAAAUGGGAUUAGAUACCCCCGUAGUCCCUGUCUCUUAUACA
rnacentral:rRNA from 1 species